rnacentral:lncRNA from 10 species
GUUACACCUGCCUAGGUACUGAGUGCAUUUCCACAGUAGCCCACACUGCAGCAUCAACAGAGAACCUCAGGAUGGGAGGCAAAAAGUGCAUGGCAUAGGCUCAGGAUCAAUAAUGAUAAUUGGGAACAGAACCUAGCUGAGGAACAUGGACAGAAGGUGGUCAGAUGUUGAUGCUGAACUCUUUGAAGUCCAUUUCCUGGAAAGUUCUUUGAUGAGAAGCCCGAGGCUGGUAAACUAGAGUCCAAGGGCAGAAAGCUGGGACAAUGGCUGGAGGAAGAAAUGAGAGGAUCUCUAUACCCAGGCCUUGGCUUCUAUGUCCCUUCUCGAAGUGGUUGAAGUGCAGAUUUCUGAUUCUGUACCCAGCCUCCAGGGACACAGUACACAGUAUGCUGGGAAUGGCGGUGGGUGUUUGAGGUACAUUACUUCCAGACAAAACAUGGCUGCAGAGGGAUACCAAAAGCAUCUUCUGGUGGCUGAAGCCCUGUCUGCACAAGUGUCUGUGUUCUUCAAUGGUUCAGGCAAGCUCAGACAGACCCUCUGCUUCUCUUAACCUGAGACACUAGUUUCCCCAAGAACUUUGAGCUGAAGGUUCCUUGCUGUGUCCCCUACCUGGCUGUGAGGACUUUGAGUAUAAUUAUCCUAUCUUAUUUGUUGCUGUGCUCCCAGUGUCUUGGAUGGAGCCUGACAUCUAGUCAGUGUUAGUAAAUGUUGAUGUGUAUUGAAUUUUGCAAGGAUCUGCAGCCCUGAGAAGAGGGGAUACUUCUUGGAAACCUCUGUGGGCUAAAUUGAGGGUUAAGGACUGGGACUGGAAGGCAGAGAUUCCAGAGUGAUAACCACAGUAGUUACUAUUUCAUGAGAGCCUCCAUGUGCCAGCCUCUAAGCUAGGCCCAUACCAUGCAUUACCUCUUGUCCCCACUUUACAGAAACUAAGGCUUAGACAAGUUAAGCAACUUGCUAAAGAUCAAACAACUCAAUAUGUGUUGGAGUCAAAUGAACGCAUUUCUUUUCCAUUUCCCUCAUUUACUCCACUAAUGACAGUACUUAAAUUGUAGACUAGGAAUUAAAAUAGCAGAAGCCUGACUUGAGAGGGCAGAGCCCCUGCGUUUGAGUGCCUGAAAGUCAGUCAUGGGUAGAAAGAACAGUCUUGUAGCAGAGCUCUGGGCAAGGGAGGAGCCGUGAGCAGGUGGACAUGAACUCACUGUGACAACUCUCCAACAGUGAAAGCAGGUUCCCAUGGAAUCCAGGGAAAUUACUGAAUAACUUUCAACACAAAAAUGUGUGCUAGUGAGCUGUAGAGCCUUUAUAUCCCCCCAAAACAUAUUAUGGGGGUGGGGGGGGGGCGCGGAAUUCUGAAUUUUUGUUGUUGUUGUUGUUGUUGAGACAGAGUUUUGCUGUUGUUGCCCAGGCUGGAGUGCAAUGGCACAAUCUUGGCUCUCCACAACCUCCGCCUCCUGGAUUCAAGCGAUUCUCCUGCCCCAGCCUCCAGAGUAGGGGCUGGGAUUGUAGACAUGCGCCACCACGCCUGGCUAAUUUUGUAUUUUUAGUAGAGAUAGGGUUUCUGCAUGUUGAUCAGGCUGGUCUCGAACUCCUGACCUCAGGUGAUCCACCCGCCUUGGCCUCCCAAAGUGCUGGGAUUACAGGUGUGUGCCACGGCGCCCGGCCUAAGUAAAUAGUUUGGAAAGCUGCAUCCAAUAGUCUCUUUUGAAGAUUCACAAUGCACCCUAGCUUGUUAACUAUUCCAAGAAGUCCCCGGAAAAGAAUGCUUGUUUGACUUUCUUGAAUCCAGUGUUGCCCAUGUUUAUUUGACUAGUGAGCAGGUUUUUUUGUUUGUUUGUUUGUUUUUUAAGUGACACUUUUUAACACUCUGAGGCAGUAAUAUUGUACUGAACACAUGGGGAAUCUUCUGUGGAAGUUUGGCCUGGAAUACAUCCUCUGUGUUCCUUCUCGCCCCGUGGCUGAGUGAGUGUGCUGUAAAAGCUUAGUGACAGAAAAGCCCCACUUAGCCUAUUUGUGAUGAUUUCCUAAACCGGGCAAAUAACUCAUCUGAAUGGCUGAGGUGAUAAACUCACAGGAGGAGAAGAUGCUGGAGGAAGUGUCAUGUGUCCUGCAUGUAGGUACCACUUCACCUCCCAGCAAGGCGAUGCUGAUAGCAACGUUUUCCUUGGGUGUUGAAUUUUCCAUCCUGCAAUUACGUCUUAAGCCAUAGAUAAAAUUCACAUCCACGUUUCACUCAAGAUAAACCUAACAUCAUAAUAAUACAGAAGAUUAAUUCAUUGGGGAAAAAUAGAAGAAAAUUGGUCUUGGCUUAAAGAGAAGUCAACAUUUAGAAUGUGUAGAAGGGGAUUUCUUCUGGAUCACACUCUGUCCUCAACAGUGGCAUGUGAAAAUGUAUGUGGUUCGCUUUAGUGCAUGCAUGUUUGUGCCUGUCCCACUGACACAUCCACAGUGUGACCCAUAGAGGUCCACUUCUAAGACCCCUAACUCUGAGUCCAACCCACCCUUUUGGGCUCACUGCAGUCAUUUCUCUCUGAAGUCUUCCUUGACAACCUAGGCAUCAUCAGUUUUUCUCUUCUCUGAUCAUCUUAGCAAGUGUAUCCAUAAGCUAUAAUCACAAUCAUGCUGCAUAACAAAACCAAAAACUCAAUGGCCAAUAACAAUGAACAUUUAUUUUUUGUUUUCAUGUCUAGAGGCCAGGUGGGGGGUGGCUGAUCUAAGCUGGGUUUUGCUCUAGGUUAGAUUUAGUCUAGGUUGGCCUCACAUGUCUCUCAUUCUUCAGGUGUCAGGAGGCCACCAUGGGCCUGAUCUUCAGGACAGAUGCCUCUUAAGACUUGGGCUUUGACUCAUACACUGUUACUGCCACCCAUGUCCUGUUGGCCAAAGUCAAUUUCAUUACCAAGCCCAAGAUCUGUGGAGUGGAGAAAUGCAUUUUGAAGGGGAGGGAGUCAAUCUGUAAUGAGCACCAUGAUGUACCAUAGAGCAUUUGUAGUCAUGAGCCUGAUUUAGACACUUGGUGGGGUAUCUCUGUGCUCUUAGGAAUUGUGUCUCUGUGUCUGUCAGAGGUGAUAACAUUGGAGCUGAGCCUUAAAAAAUAAAAGUUUCCUCAAACACCU